GCACAUUAACACUUCUCAAAUAUAUUGAUUGGAAAAAAAUGAAUUAAAUCCAAACCAAACAACAGAGUGAUGUGGACCAGUUUGCAUUCUUAUCCGGCGGGACUGGAAAAUGAAUUAAAUCCAAACCAAACAACAGACAAAUUUCAAGACAUGACAUGUGAAUGGAAAAAAAAAAAAGUCCUACCCCAACAACUUGUCUGCUUGUCCUUUUCUUACAACUAAAUGCAAUCAGGACAGAAUCCGAAUUUCUCAUAGCCAUGCAGAUGAUGACAAAAAGCAGCACUCUCCCUAUACUCUUCAACAAGUAGACAUG